CUCUGUGUCCCUCAUUGAGACUAGCUGA
rnacentral:piRNA from 1 species